CCGCCAAACAACGACUCGCAAAGGUACGAUUUUUGAUUUGAAUCAAAGCUUCUUCUUAGUCGUCUUCUUCUUCUAGGGUUUCUGUGUCGAUGAUACGCACUCUGCGUCUUUGUGGUCUGGUUGCUCGUACAUGCUAGGUGUGGUGAUUAGGGAAGCUUUAUCAUCAACACCGAGUAAUUUGGUCCUUUGUUGUUAUUAAAUUUUGAAAGAAAAAUGUCUGGAAGAAAUCGUGGGCCUCCACUUCCAAUGAAAGGUGUUCCACAUGGAGGGCUACCCCCUGUUCAUGAACCUCCCUUCGGUAGAGACCAUGGUCCAAUUCCUCAUCCUGCAUUACUUGAAGAAAUGAGAGAAUCCCAGUUCCGUAUGGGGCCCAGACAAGUCCCUCCUCACCCAGCUAUCAUUGAGGAGCAUCUUGCAUCCCAACAUCAAGAAAUUCAAGGACUUUUGGUUGAUAAUCAGCGACUAGCGGCGACCCAUGUGGCACUCAAGCAGGAAUUAGAAGCUGCCCGGCAUGAGCUUCAACGAAUGGCCCACUAUGCCAGUUCGUUGCACGCGGAGAAGGAUAUGCAGAUGAGGGAAUUGUACGAGAAGUCUGUUAAAAUGGAAAUGGAUCUUGGUGGAGCAGAAGCUAUGAGGGCUGAACUACAGCAAGUUCAUGCUGACGUUAAGGAGUUAACUGCCACAAAACAAGAGCUUACAGCUCAGGUCCAAGCAAUGACUCAGGAUUUAGCCAGGGUUACUGCAGAUUUACAACAGGCCCCAGCUCUCAAGGAAGAAAUUGAUUUUCUGAAACAGGAGUUGCAGCGGGCGAGGGCUGCCAUUGAGUAUGAGAAGAAGGGAUACACAGAGAACUAUGAGCAUGGUCAGGUGAUGGAGAACAAAUUGAUCUCAAUGGCUAGGGAGUUGGAAAAACUUCGUGCAGAAAUGGCUAAUGCGGAAAAGAGAGCACGUGCUGCUGCCGCUGUUGGGAAUCCAGGCUAUAAUGGAACUUAUGGUAAUCCUGAAGCUGGGUAUGCAGGAAAUCCUUAUCCUGCCAGUUAUGGCAUGAAUCCCAUGAAUCCUGGACAGGCUGGUGCAGAAAGCUAUCCUCAGUAUGGAUCUGGACCUGGUUCUUGGGGUGCUUAUGACAUGCAGCGAGCUCACGGACAGAGAUAGAGUAUUAUGGUUAUCAAGCUAUGCUGUGGACUGUUAUUUUGCUUUUCUCUGCUGCUACUUAGGUUGCAACUGGGAGCUCCAAACAAAACACUUGUGCCAUUUUUCAUCAGUAUCUUAAUUUGAAGAGCCACACCUGUUGGUUGGCAAAUUUCUUUGCAGAACUUUUAGGCAGUCUCGCACAUCAGUUAGCUUGUUAUUGGCAAGUUCGUGACUGCUAUAUGAACAGGGAUUGAUUUUGUGUGUUCUCCCAAAAAUUCAAUAUUAGGUUCAUCUUUAUGGAGCUUUUGGCUUUAGAGGCCCCAUUCAAGUACUAAAUGGGCGGACUUGUAUGAUACUCACUGGUAUGAUGAGUUUUGCUUACUUAGAACCCUGAUGUUGAUCUUCCAAAAUUCUCAUGGCAGAAGUGUUCGUGCGAACUAUUGUGUACGAAUGGUUUCUUUCUCUAUGGGGAAAAAGGGACAAAAUUGCCAGCGGCUUUGCAGAUUUCUGGAUUACACUGAGCUGAGCCCACGCUUAGGAGUAUUUAAGUGCGUGUUUUGCUGAAUUUUGAUUGAGCUCGAGUUUCACCAAGUUUCCACAACCCCAUGUCAUGUAAAGUUCACGUCUAGUAGAAGCAGUCAAAUGGGAAUGAACUCUCUCAUUGUACUUUCCCUAUGUUGAGUGCAUCUGUACGGUGUCACUUUGCUCGAAGAUUUGGUGGAAUAUGUAAGUGGAUGUUAAAGCAUUGUUGCAAGCUGAAAAAAUGGUGGAUUGAGCUAUUGCUGCUCCAAUUCAUGCUGUUCAGGUUGAUAAUGCAUCCCAAUCAAUCCCCAAAAUGUGAAUGUGAUGAUCUUCUUGACGACUUUUUACGUUAAAAUUUGAUCAUUUCAUUUUACAUGCACCCGCCAGACAUCAGUAUUUUCUUCUCCUACUGUUGGUUGGCACCAUAUGAUCUUACAUAAGAUUUAUACAUCAAAAUGUGAUCAAAUUUGUGUUCUCCUUUCUUUGGCCUAACAUGAAUCUCAUAUGAUCUUGCAUCUUGGUUGAUGUGAACUGUUUGGA